AUGGGUAGCACCUGUGACAACUACAAGCAUACCAGCCGCCCCAUCAUCCAUCACUGCUUUUAAAACUAUCUGGGACAUGUUGUACUCUUCAACAACUCUUGCUUGUGCAGAGAGAUAUGAGCUUGGUCCAAAAGGAGUAGGCUGGUUCAGCAUAUUUACAUCAGCAGCUGAUCUGCGCGACAUAGACGAAAAGCCUGAGAUAAAACCUGAACCAGCUGGAGGAGCAUAUUUCUUACGAUCGGCUUUUGAAAGCCCCCGAAUACCUUCUGCUUGAACUGUUCGUAGGACCUCUAGAGGCAAACCACAUGCGACUAGUCGAACCCCAUUUUCGCGACAAUAAGUCAA
rnacentral:misc_RNA from 1 species